GACGAACGCUGGCGGCGUGCCUAAUACAUGCAAGUAGAACGCAGUUGCGAACGGGUGAGUAACGCGUAGGUAACUGCCUCAUAGCGGGGGAUAAAUAUUGGAAACGAUAGCUAAUACAGCAUACUGGGAGAUGGACCUGCGGUGUAUUAGCUAGUUGGUGGGGUAAAGGCUCACCAAGGAGACGAUACAUAGCCGACCUGAGAGGGGGAUCGGCCACACUGGGACUGAGUCACGGCCCAGACUCCUACGGGAGGCAGCAGUAGGGACUCUUCGGCAAUGGACGGAAGUCUGACCGCGCAACGCCGCGUGAGUGAAGAAGGUUUUCGGAUCGUAAAGCUCUGUUGUUAGAGAAGCGGUACCUAACCAGAAAGGGACGGCUAACUACGUGCCAGCAGCCGCGGUAAUUC
rnacentral:rRNA from 1 species